UAACUAGGAUUCCCUGAGUAGCGGCGAGCGAAACGGGAAAAGCCCAGCACUUAGCCCAUUAGUCCGUGCAGUCGACUAAUUGGGGAUGCAGUGUAUGGAGAGUUCGUUAGCUCGUCACAGUGGACGUGUGCACGUUCAAGUCCAUCUUGAAUGAGGCUAUGAUACCCAUAGAGGGUGCCAGGCCCGUGGCAACUGCCGUCCGUGACUUGUGAGCUCCUCCUAAGAGUCGUGUUGCUUGAUAGUGCAGCACUAAGUGGGUGGUAAACUCCAUCUAAGGCUAAAUACGACCACGAGACCGAUAGAGAACAAGUACCGUGAGGGAAAGUUGAAAAGAACUCUGAAUAGAGAGUUAAAAAGUACGUGAAACCGUAUAGGGGUUAAGCCCGUUGAAUCUAAAUAUCUGAAUGGUGGAAUUCAGCGCCGACUGUGUUGUUCCAACAUGGCCGGUGUGCACUUUCCGCCUAGUAGGACACUGCAAUCUGUUAGAUUGGGUACCGUAUUCGUAUGGUGCCCGGACUUAUCAAUUAUGGGUUCGCUGUAGAAUUGUUUAUCCGUUGUGUUCGACUGUGGGCUCAUGUGUGUGCGGCAGCAAUGUCGUGCGCGCACCACUUUUGUCACCUUGUGAUAAGUCUAUGUGAACACCGAUAAUGUUGAGCUGACAGAUUUACAAAAUGAAAUCAUACAUUGCACACUCGUGUGCAGCUGAUUGUGUGUGUUCGCGC
rnacentral:rRNA from 1 species